CUUGUUGCCCUGUAGAGGACAUACAAGGAUCAUAGUGGUGGUUCUUCCAGGGCCCAGCCUGUCCCUUGCACUCAGGGCCAACUGACCCCUGCAAGCUUCCCCAGGUGUGGAAAACUCAACUGCACAGAAUUUUGUGGCAAUGAGGGAAUGUUUUCCCCCUGGCUUUCU